rnacentral:pre_miRNA from 1 species
AAUGGGGUAGCUGGGUCAAAUGGUGGUUCCAUUCCACAUUUCCUGAGGAAUCGCCAUACUGCUUUCCAUUGUGGUUGUACCAAUUUGCAGUCCCACCAGCAAU